GACGAACGCUGGCGGCGUGCUUAACACAUGCAAGUCGAACGGUAAGGCCCUUCGGGGUACACGAGUGGCGAACGGGUGAGUAACACGUGGGUGAUCUGCCCCGCACUUCGGGAUAAGCCUGGGAAACUGGGUCUAAUACCGGAUAGGACCACUGCCUGCAUGGGUGGUGGCGGAAAGCUUUUGCGGUGUGGGAUGGGCCCGCGGCCUAUCAGCUUGUUGGUGGGGUGAUGGCCUACCAAGGCGACGACGGGUAGCCGGCCUGAGAGGGUGACCGGCCACACUGGGACUGAGAUACGGCCCAGACUCCUACGGGAGGCAGCAGUGGGGAAUAUUGCACAAUGGGCGCAAGCCUGAUGCAGCGACGCCGCGUGAGGGAUGACGGCCUUCGGGUUGUAAACCUCUUUUAGUAGGGAAGAAGCGAAAGUGACGAUACCUGCAGAAAAAGCACCGGCUAACUACGUGCCAGCAGCCGCGGUAA
rnacentral:rRNA from 1 species